AGAGUUCGAUCCUGGCUAAGGAUGAACACUAGCAACAUGCUUAACACAUGCAAGUCGGAUGAGAAGUGGUGUGUCCAGUGGUGGAUGGGCGAGCAACACGUAAAAACCUACCCUUGAGAGGGGAAUAACAACUGAAAACGGCUGUUAAUACCCUAUAGGCUAAGGAACAAAAGGAGGAAUGUACCCAAGGAGAGGCUCACAUCUGAUUAGCUAGUUGGUGAAGCAAUAACUUACCAAGGUGAUGAUCAGUAGUUGGUCCAAGAGGAUGACCAACCACACUGGGACUGAGACACGGCCUAGACUCCUACGGGAGGCAGCAGUGGAGAAUUUUGUGCAAUAGGUGAAAGCCCGAUGGAGCAAUGCCAUGUGGAGGUAGAAGGCCUAUGGGUCGUGAACUUCUUUUCCCAGAAAAUAAACAAUGACGGUAUCUAGGGAACAAGUUUCGGCUAACUCUGUGCCAACAAUCAUGGUAAUACAGAGGAUGCAAGCGUUAUCCAGAAUGAUUAGGCCUAAAGCAUCUGUAUCUGGCUUUUUAAGUCCACCGUCAAAUCGCAGGGCUCAACCCUGGACAGGCGGUGGAGACUUCCAAGCUAGAGUAUGGUAGAGGCAGAGGGAAUUUUUGAUGGAGUGAUGAAAUGCAUAGAGAACACCAACAGUGAAAGCACUCUACUGGGCCAACACUGACACGGAGAGACAAAAGGUAGGUGAGCGAAUGGGAUUGGAUACUCCAAUAGUCUUAGCCGUAAACGAUGGAUACUAGGCACUGUUCGUAUCGACCCGUGUAGUGCUGUAGUUAAUGCGUCGAGUAUCCUAUCUGGGGAGUACGUUCACAAGAAUGAAACUAAAAGGAAUUGAUGGGGACCCACACAAAUGGUGAUACAUGUGGUUUAAUUCGAUGUAAAGCGAAGAACCUUACCAGGGCUUGACAUGCCGCAAAUUCUCUUGGAAGAGAGGGAUGCCUUCAGGAAUGCAGACAUAGGUGGUGCAUGGCUGUAGUCAGUCCAUUCCAUAAAGUGUUGGGUUAAGUCCCAUAACGAGCAUAACCCUUGUGUUUAGUUGCCACGGCUGAGUUUGGAACCCUGAGCAGACUGCUGGUGAUAAGCCGGAGGAAGGUGAGGAUGACGUCAAGUCAUCAUGCCUCUUAUGCCCCGGGUGACACACGUGCUACAAUGGCUGAGACGAAGGGUCGCAAUCCCACGAGGGUUAACUAACUCCAAAAACUCAUCCUCAGUUCAGAUUGUAGGCAACAACUCUCCUACACGAAGCAGGAAUAGCUAGUAAUCACUGAUCAGCCAUACGCCAGUGAAUUCAUUCUCGGGCCUUGUACACACUGCCCGUCAUAUUAUGGGAGCUGGCCAUGCCCCAAGUCCUUACCUUAACUGCCAGGUGGGUGAUGUCGAAGGCACGACUAGUGACUGGAGUGAAGUCGUAACAAGAUAGCCGUACUGGAAGGUACGACUG
rnacentral:rRNA from 1 species